rnacentral:rRNA from 1 species
CAGCCGCCGCGGGAAUACAGAGGGUGCGAGCGUUAAUCGGAUUUACUGGGCGUAAAGCGUGCGUAGGCGGCUUCUUAAGUCGGAUGUGAAAUCCCUGAGCUUAACUUAGGAAUUGCAUUCGAUACUGGGAAGCUAGAGUAUGGGAGAGGAUGGUAGAAUUCCAGGUGUAGCGGUGAAAUGCGUAGAGAUCUGGAGGAAUACCGAUGGCGAAGGCAGCCAUCUGGCCUAAUACUGACGCUGAGGUACGAAAGCAUGGGGAGCAAACAGGAUUAGAUACCCGUGUAGUCCCUGUCUCCUAUAC